ACUCUCCACUCCGAGGCUCAGGGAGCAAGUGCCUGGCAUGGGGGGUAAAAGUUGGCUUUUUUUUUACUCCUUGGUCUUUUGCGCCCUUCUCCCUCUCCCCAGAAGGGAAGACCCAUUUAAACUAUUUUAGACGCAAUCAACCAAGAAUCACCAUGUGGAAUUGAGCGGCAGUUUUAAAUGUGUUGAGCAGGGGAGAGGAAUGAUGAGAAAAACAUUUUUUUUUUUUUUUUUGGAGACGCCGAAAGAAGCCUGUUUGUGUGCUGCGGCCGUGCUGUGACUUUGGAUCUUGUCUUUCAGCCGGCGCCUCGGUUCCUGCCCAGCUGGAUUUGGGGGGCAGCAUUGCCUGGCGCAGGGAGAUCAAAUGAGACUGCAAAGAAGCAUAAAAUGAAUAGACAAUCCAACCAACCAAAGGAAAUUGCUUUGGAGAUGAGGAAACAAACUCUUAUGGAGACCUAAGAGACUGAAGACAUCUGGCGUGGACUACUCUGAUGGGUCUUUUCUGCCUUUGCUUGGCACUUCUCCAUCCUGCUGCCAUGUGAAGAAGGACAUGUUUGCUUCCCCUUCUACUAUGAUUGUAAGUUUCCUGAGGCCUCCCCAACCGUGCUGAACUGUGAGUCAAUUAAACCUCUUUCUUUUAUAAAUUA
rnacentral:lncRNA from 1 species